rnacentral:rRNA from 1 species
UACGAAGGGGGCUAGCGUUGUUCGGAAUUACUGGGCGUAAAGCGUGCGCAGGCGGUGCUGUAAGACAGGCGUGAAAUCCCCGGGCUUAACCUGGGAAUGGCGCUUGUGACUGCAGUGCUGGAGUGCGGCAGAGGGGGAUGGAAUUCCGCGUGUAGCAGUGAAAUGCGUAGAUAUGCGGAGGAACACCGAUGGCGAAGGCAAUCCCCUGGGCCUGCACUGACGCUCAUGCACGAAAGCGUGGGGAGCAAACAGG